ACUGUGAGGGAGGGAACGGCGGCCACAGGCCGCGGCGCGGGCCGAGGAGACCCGGCGACUCGAAGCUGGCGACGACGCGCGGCCCUACCUGGCCAACUCCCGCAGGGCGGGGAUCAUGGACGCCAGCUCCAGCCCGUGGUCGCCCAUGGUGACACCGAGCGGCUCUCAAAACAGCCGCCGCCGGCGCCGGGCUUCUCCACAGCCGCCUCCGGAGGAGAGGGCGGAGCGUCGACAGGGCCCCGCGAGGUCCAAAAUUCUCCUCCCGGAAGCCGCUCUCGGUUGCGGUUGGAACCCUGGGGAAAUCCCAGAGGCGACAGGGGCGGAGCCGACAGCGGACGUGCCCGCCCACUUUCCCUCCCAGGCGAGUGCGUGACCUACUCCACGGGUAUUUUUUGCUCAAACCUGGAUGCUCAGCGAAGCCGUAAGCUAGGAUCUGGGUCGGAGAGGGACCUGACGACCCAACAAAGUUAGAUAUUUCACUAUGUUGGAAUGGCAUAUUUAACUAGGUAAGGCCAUGCAGUAAUCCUUACAUUUGCUGUUUAGGACACAAGGGUAAUUAUUGAUACAGCCUCCAAAAAUAAAAUUAAAAAGUGGUGGAAUGGCAGCCAGAUGCGCUCUGACUGCAAGUUUGGAACCUGCUGUACUUUGAACACCCAUCCCUUUGCCCCGUUUCCUUCAGUAAUGCCCUGUGAUGAGGAACUGUAAGCUGAAGCAAACCUUUUCCUUCCCAAGUCACUUUCCAUCAUUGUGUUCCAUCACAGCAAUAGAAACCUAACAUAGGAUAGGCAACUAUGAAAAAUAGUGUACCUGCUAAAAAAGUAAGAAAAGCUAGCUAUUUUUAAAUCAUGUUGAGAAAGACGACAAUAAUGACAGAGCUGAGGGCACAGCCCAGUGGAAGAGCACUAACCUAGCUCGUGAGGCUCCGGGCACAGAGGACCUAGAGUACUAAGCGAACAACAUUUAAACGAUUUAAAAAAAGAAGGCAUAGUUGCACAUGCCUACAGUCCCCUUACUUUGGGUAUAGAGGCAGAAGGAUCAAGAGUUCAAAGCCAUCCUUAGCUCUAUAAUGAGCUCAAAGGCAGUCUAGGAUACAGGGGAACCCUGUCUCAAAAAACAAAACAAAACAAAACAAAACCAAAAGCCACUACCACCAUCAACAACAACAAAAAACAACCCAGUAUGUAAUUCAUCACUGAGUAGCACUGCAGUUCUGAAGUGCAGGACCCCAAACAGCAGAGCUCUGGCAAUCUAAUCCAAAAAGCAAUUUUUGAAACAAUUAUUUGUUUUGCACUUUACAUUCCAAUACCACCCCCCUCUCCUCCCAGUGCCGUUGGUGGGCCACCAUGGGCAGUCCACAUAUGUCCUAGGCUAUCUGUGAAUGUGAUCCAACACAACUGAGGGACAGCAUCAUCACCCAGUGUCCUGCUUGUGGAUCAAGAUGUAAGCACUCAGCUAAUUCACCAGCGCCAUGCCUGCCUGCCUGUCGCUUGGUCUCUGCCAUAAUAGUCAUGGAUUCCAACCCUCUGAAACUGUAAGCAAGCCCCCAAUAAACUGUUAAUCUC
ensembl:antisense 1700065D16Rik RIKEN cDNA 1700065D16 gene